CUCCAAACAUUUUCCUGGUCUCUUUUUUUAGAUGUUCCCUUCGUCCCCCUUGUCAAACACCAACUUAGCGUUCUGGUUUUGCAAUUUGAAAUGAGUCGCCGUUCUUGUGUUGCUGUACUUUCUAGAUGAUUCACUGACGUUAACUACUGAUGUAGGCUUCAUACCAGGAAAAUGACUGUGCUUUCUUUUCCGUGCAUUUUUUUUUUUAGUUCCUGUUUUCCUUUGAACUACAAUGGGCACACACAAAAAAGUCAAUCUGAUAAACUAUGUAAGAAAAAAAAAGUCAGUCAGUUAUGAACACUUGACUACAUUCCCUUGAGCAACUCUGGGGGAAAAAAAUAACACAUUUUAAACCAUUUUAAUAUUUUUUACCAAUAAUAAAAUGAAUUGUAUUUGAAUGGAGGGUAAUCCAAUUGAGAUUAAAACGUAAACGAAUGUGCCUUUUUACACAUUGUUAAGACCUCUCUUUUUGAAUGCUAUAUUUCAAAUAAUGAAUCAUGAAAUGAACAUAACUGCAUAUCUGAAAUGGCGUUGGCUUCAAACAAGUUGAGAGUGAAAGCGAGCACCGAAGGAUGGGCUCCAUCAAUUCCACACAAUUGAGAGGAUUCCCAACAAUCCAUUGAUUGACUUAUUGAUUCGCAUGCGCGACUCGAGUGGAGCAAGCGAUUUUUCUUUUAUUAGCACGGUUAAUGAUUUGUGCCAGCACCCCGGUUUAAAAAAAAAGAAAAGAAAAAAUGCAUUGACUAUGUUGCUCACGAUGCAAUUUGGGUAUGCGCUGCCCCACACUGCAAUGAAUCUAAAGGGAGAGACGACGGGAGCGGCAAAUCAAAGAAGGCGCACGCAGGAAAUUAUUUUAAAAAUGUAUAUUUGUACCAUGGAAUACCUUCACAAGUGAAUACACUGAUAAUGAAAAGGUACUGCACAUAUCGUGGUGAGAAGUAUGGAAAGAAUGACAAUGUGAAAACUACUUCCACGCCCUUCAGAUCUGUUGGAUCCUGUCCUCUAAACUUCACAAAUGUAAGAACAUUUCGAGAGAACCAAUGACGCUAUGAUACUGACAAUAGCAAGCUUAAUUCACACGACUAAUGAAGUGAUGCCAUAGAUGUCAGCGCUAUAAUGAAGCGCCGCGAAGCAAAUGUCGAUCGCUCGACCUUGCCAUUAUCACGUGAAACCAGGCAGUGGCUCGUUGAGCUCCGAUGUUCGCCGUCGUUUGACCUUCGGCUUUAGAGCAGCGAUACAUUGCUGACAAGUACGCAAAUUGGAGUCUGCGCAACUUUGAUGAAGAUCAAGCACAGUUUUUCCCUCAGUGACUUCAAGCUGCGAUGACUUGUUAGCUCCGAAGUCGUUCUUUCCGCCGUCUGAAGCUUCUACCGCCACAUUGUAGAUUUGGUUGCACGCACAGCACAGGCCGUUUUAUUGAACUCACGUCCACAUUUUGUAUUUGUUCAUUUGAGAUCUCAACAUUAUUAUUAUUUAAUGAAGGCAUGUCAUUGGUUUGAAUGGAGUCGAUGUCAUUCGAGUACAGCGGCUAGUUUUAUCGUUGAAGCUGACUUCUAUGCCGCAUUAUAAACGUAACGUAUGCUCCUCGAUCGGCUGGCGACCGGCUCAUGCCUACGUUAGCCGGGAUGGGACGUUGUGAUUACCGAGGAAUGUUGUACAAGUGGUCAUUUGAAAAGGUACACACUUGCAGAAAUGUAUAUCAGAAUCAGAAUCAUCUUUAUUUGCCAAGUAUGUCCAAAACACACAAGGAAUUUGUCUCCGGUAGUUGGAGCCGCUCGAGUACGACAACAGACGGUCAAUUGACAGAACACUUUGGAGACAUAAAGACAUUGACAAAAAACAACAACAAACAACAAUUGUGCAAAAAGAUGCAGAGUCCUCAGUUCGAAUGGCUAAUAUCGCAAUAGUCCGGUGCGAUGACCAUUGUGCAAAGGCCACUGAGAGUUCAAGGAGCGUAUGCGGUUUAAUGGUGUUGUAUAUUGAUAAUGAUCCUGUUUCCUCUCUCGUUGUUGCGUUUCAACCUUGGACUCAGUUUGUUUUUAAAUCCCUUCAUAGUCUCGCCACACGCUACUUGUCUGACCUUAGACCCCACCGCGUUCAACCAGGAGUGUCAAAGUCGUUAUUGUCGCAACUCAUCGUAGUUACAGCUUCCCUUAGAGGGAGGUUACGUCUGUGAAACCAUGUAAAUGUUUAAUCACCUCAUCAUAUUAUUAUACAUACACAACAACUUGACGGAUAACUAGUUUUGAAAUCAGAAGUCAAGGUUAAGAGUUUGUUCUGCUAUGGAUCAAGUUACUGUAAAAAUGGUUGUGGUAACAAAAAAAUGCUUGCAAUAUGUCAAGUUAUUAUUUAUUACAUUUUGGCACAGAUUUUAGCAAUAAUUAUUGAAGUUGACACACAUGAUUUUCACAUAAAAAUGAUGUGGCCCCCGGGCCUUGAGUUUGACCCCUGUGCCUCAGGUCGCCAGAUGGCUGUUUGCUAGCUGUCUCUCAAUCAAAGAGAAAACUUCGUGGGGAGCGCCCAUUCUCAGUUGCUGCCCCGAAGUUGUGGCAUGAGCGCCCUCUGCACCUUGGACGGCCGAUUCAUUUCCUGUUUUCAAAUCCUCUCUUAAAACGUUUUUCUUCCUUUUACCUCAGGCUGAGAUGUUGAUUUGAAUCCUUAUCUUCUUUUUUUUUUUUUUUGUUCAGGCUGAGAUGUUGAUUUGAAUCCUUAUCUUGUUUUUUUUGUUUGUUUUUUAAAUUGGUGUUAGUCUGAAAGUGAUUGCAAGUUCCAAUGUUGUAUUUGUGACUCUGCGUAUGUUUCAUCAAAUAAAAAUUUCUCAACCCGCCCUUGUGGACAUGACACAAGCACAUCCGUUUGGUGUGAGACGGAGAGGCCGCCGCCGCAGUUUGUGCUAUUGUAGUUGGUGUGUUUGUUAGUCGCUCCCCUUAAUUGCCUCAUCAGUAAAUGUCAAACGCUCAAAUGAGUGCGCUAUUUCGAUUUAUUCAGUCGUUUGCGCUCCAUCAGGCGCGGGCUGCAGCACGCUGCAAUUACUGCCGCCCGUCAACGAUAAAUUGGCGCGCAAAAGAGAUUUAAGCCCCCGCCUGUGAACCGAAAGACCCAAGUGGAAAGUCCACCUGCACUUGAGUUUGUAAUGAGAAACAAUCUUUUGCUCCAUUGUGACUUUGGCGGUGGUUUUUCAUGGAUAUUAGUGAUGGCGCGAUGAAACGUCAUAACACUUCAGUUCGAGUAAUGCUUCGUUUUGCGAUGCUUCAUGUGCACACAAAACCACCUGCUGUGGCCUUGUGUGAUGCGUCGCAGUUUUGCAUCUUUUUUGGCUCUUGUGAAUGACUGCCUAUUACAAAAUGAGUUUUUGACCAAGUCAUUUCCCAACAGUGUAUCCUAAAGUACUUUUGGAGUGAGUCGACUGGGCAACAAGGAAACAGAGCAACGCAGCCAAGUGGAGAAUAAUACAGCAGCGUCCCAAGCUAAGCUACAACGGUGCAAACUAACGUUAGCGUGUGGCGAGGUGAGUAGGUACUGGGGAGCGAGGAAACGGAGCGCUGCAGCAAAGAGGAGACUUUGGAGUAUAAUCCUGCAGUGUCCGGAGCUCAGGCAUGGCAACGGGGCAUGCUAAUGUUAGCAUGUGGCGAGCUGAGUAGCAGUAGCAUUUCUAGCUCUUUCCCCUCCAAAUGUCACACGAACGAAUAUGCUCCACCACUGAACGACCUGCUGUGGUUUGCUUCAGCAUAUGGUAUCUGCUCUGCACGUUUAGAACUCCGGCUGACCGUUGCACCUGCUUUUGCUUGUGGACAUCACAUAACGCGAGCGACGGUCAAGGCAAUGCUGUCAACAAGAAGACGGCGAAUGAUGGGAGGUGCAACACGAGAGCUCCUUUGGCGUUUUCUGCUUUUCCUCCUCGAGUCUGCCAUCUCACAAUUGACGCCCUAUAUCUGCAUUGACCUUGAGGAACAUGCAGAAAGGCUUAGGGGAGUAGUUGAGCGGCAUGAAAGAGCAACUGGAUGAAAUGGACAUUCCCAGAGGGUGCGCCGGAUGCACCUCCAGACGCGCCCGCCGCAGGGAGGAGCCCCGAUAAGCAUUCUAGCGCCAUCGCAAGAACUGCCUUCCCUCUACGUCGUGUUUUUAUGCACGCAUGCAUUUGCUACAGUUCAUUUACACAUCAUGCCACAGUCCUGCUAUAAUGUCCUGAAAUCAGUGAGAAAUAAACGGUUCUAUUUGAACAUGUUCUGUCAUUUCUGUUAAAAAAAAACACAAAAAAAAAAGUGUGUUCCACGGUAUCACUAAAAGUUUCAUGGCAUAACUGCAAAGUAAUGAGGCGAAGAAAUUACACGUACAAACACCGUCUUCCUUUUCAGUUUCAGUUUGCUGUUGGAAAAGUCGCCUAUCGCAAUUCCUUGGGCUGAGCUUUACAAAUGGUCUUCAAUCUCGAGUGGGGAAUAUUUUGGCUUGGAGCAGAUGAGGGGCGGAAAGACGUCUGGCGAAAGGACACACUUUUGUGAUGUACGACCACGUUGAGAGCGUGAACAGACACGUCGAUGUGCAGUGGAGAUGGUGCGCUGAGAUGUGUGUGUGUGUG